rnacentral:snRNA from 1 species
GGAUGUGAGGGCGAUCUGGCUGCGACAUCUGUCACCCCAUUGAUCGCCAGGGUUGAUUCGGCUGAUCUGGCUGGCUAGGCGGGUGUCCCCUUCCUCCCUCACCGCUCCAUGUGCGUCCCUCCCGAAGCUGCGCGCUCGGUCGAAGAGGACGACCAUCCCCGAUAGAGGAGGACCGGUCUUCGGUCAAGGGUAUACGAGUAGCUGCGCUCCCCUGCUAGAACCUCCAAACAAGCUCUCAAGAGCAGUUUUUAAGUCAAACCAUUAUGAAAAAAAGCAAGCAACUAUUGACAAAUUUUGAGGAAUGCAUAUUU